ACGAACGCUGGCGGCGUGCCUAAUACAUGCAAGUCGAACGGUCUUUCUAUGGAAGCUUGCUUCCACUGAGAAGAUAGUGGCGAACGGGUGAGUAACACGUGGGUAACCUGCCCAUAAGAGGGGGAUAACAUCCGGAAACGGGUGCUAAUACCGCAUAGUUUUCUUGAUCGCAUGAUCGGGAAAGGAAAGACGGCCUUUGUGCUGUCGCUUAUGGAUGGACCCGCGGCGUAUUAGUUAGUUGGUGAGGUAAUGGCUCACCAAGACGAUGAUACGUAGCCGACCUGAGAGGGUGAUCGGCCACAUUGGGACUGAGACACGGCCCAAACUCCUACGGGAGGCAGCAGUAGGGAAUCUUCCGCAAUGGACGAAAGUCUGACGGAGCAACGCCGCGUGAGUGAAGAAAGGUUUUCGGAUCGUAAAACUCUGUUGUCAGAGAAGAACAAGUUGGAGAGUAACUGCUCCAGCCUUGACGGUAUCUGACCAGAAAGCCACGGCUAACUACGUGCCAGCCGCCGC
rnacentral:rRNA from 1 species